AGAGUUUGAUCCUGGCUCAGGACGAACGCUGGCGGCGUGCCUAACACAUGCAAGUCGAACGCGUCUGUGCUUCGGCACAGAUGAGUGGCGAACGGGUGAGUAACGCGUGAGUAACUCCCCUUGGGGAGGGGGAUAACCAUCUGAAAAGGUGGCUAAUACCCCAUAUUCUCUUUUCUCAUAAGAGGAAGGAGGAAAGGUGGCGCAAGCUGCCACCCCGAGAGAGGCUCGCGUCCCAUCAGCUAGUUGGUAGGGUAAUGGCCUACCAAGGCUAUGACGGGUAGCUGGUCUGAGAGGAUGGUCAGCCACACUGGGACUGAGACACGGCCCAGACUCCUACGGGAGGCAGCAGUGAGGAAUCUUGGGCAAUGGGCGAAAGCCUGACCCAGCGACGCCGCGUGGAGGAAGAAGGCCUUCGGGUCGUAAACUCCUGUUUGGGGAGAAGAACAAGAGAGAAGUUAAUAGCUUCUCUCUCUGACGGUAUCCCCGGAGAAAGCUCCGGCUAAUUACGUGCCAGCAGCCGCGGUAAUACGUAAGGAGCGAGCGUUGUCCGGAUUUACUGGGCGUAAAGGGCUCGUAGGUGGUUUCUUAGGUCUCACGUGAAAUUCCCUGGCUCAACCAGGGAGGGUCGUGGGAAACCGAGAGGCUAGAGGGCAGGAGAGGAGAGUGGAAUUCCCGGUGUAGCGGUGAAAUGCGUAGAGAUCGGGAGGAACACCAGUGGUGAAGACGGCUCUCUGGACUGUCCCUGACACUGAGGAGCGAAAGCCAGGGGAGCAAACCGGAUUAGAUACCCGGGUAGUCCUGGCCGUAAACGAUGGGUACUA
rnacentral:rRNA from 1 species